GAUCAUUAAAAAAUACAUUACACAUUGUUUUUGCGAACAAAAAAAUAAAUUUUUUUAUUCGAAUUUCUUAAUAUCAAAACUUUCAACAACGGAUCUCUUGGUUCUCGCAUCGAUGAAGAACGCAGCGAAUUGCGAUACGUAGUAUGACUUGCAGACGUGAAUCAUCGAAUCUUUGAACGCACAUUGCGCCUCGAGGCAUUCCUCGAGGCAUGCCUGUUUGAGCGUCGCAUCCCCUCUAACCCCCGGUUAGGCGUUGCUCCGAAAUAUCAACCGCGCUGUCAAACACGUUUACAGCACGACAUUUCGCCCUCAAAUCAGGUAGGACUACCCGCUGAACUUAAGCAUAUCAAUAA
rnacentral:misc_RNA from 1 species